rnacentral:ncRNA from 1 species
GACGACCGGCUGGACGUGCCCUGUGUGAACGGGUCAUGCCCAGCCCACAAGUGGAGGCUCCGAUCUCCCACCUGACUGCCCUCCGGGGCGGCGGGUCACCCGGUCAGGCGGCCACCAUCGUUCCGUACGGACGAUGGAGUCGCCCGAAAGUGCGCCCCGCGGUCACCGCGGCGGUGCUCCGGUAGCAAUGGGAGCCCCGCCUGUGAUCGUCCGGGGCAUUUUUU